UACGAAGGGGGCUAGCGUUGCUCGGAAUGACUGGGCGUAAAGGGCGCGUAGGCGGUCUGGUCAGUCAGGCGUGAAAUUCCUGGGCUCAACCUGGGGACGGCGCUUGAGACGGCUGGGCUUGAGUGGGGAAGAGGGUCGUGGAAUUCCCAGUGUAGAGGUGAAAUUCGUAGAUAUUGGGAAGAACACCGGUGGCGAAGGCGGCGACCUGGUCCUUGACUGACGCUGAGGCGCGAAAGCGUGGGGAGCAAACAGG
rnacentral:rRNA from 1 species